AUUUUGGAUACGCUUUCUAUCCAUUUGUGCCACGAAUUUCACAGUGACUCAAUUUUUUCAUCAUAAAAUUUCCAACCGGAAUAAUCUCAAAGUAAAACAGGAUCCAGGUCGUGGGUAUGGAUUCCACACGAGCAAUGGAAAUACGUCAAAAAAUGUUGGAUAGGAAAGCGGAACGAAAAGCCAGAAGAGCAAAGGGAUUUGUGCAUACAAAAAGAAGGAGACAAAAUCUCAAAGCAUGGGUACAAUUUCAAAGACAGCGUUUCAAUUUUGAGGAGGAGCGCAAGAAGAAUAUGCAGAUCAGAGAGAAAACGAUUAAGGAUAGGUGUGGCCCUUGGUCAGAUACUAAUUUAAUAACAACCCAAGGCUGGAGGAAGAUCUGUAUGACUUGGACUAUGGUUUGGCUCUUAAAGAUAUGAAGGUUAAUAAUUUACGACUGGAUUUGGACGAGAUGAGAGGAAAAUUUAUUAAACCUCAGUUGAAGAAAGUGCGGAGUACGAUUCACUGGAAAUGAGGUAUAAAUUACUGGACUCAUCCGCGGGGAAGAUUUCUUGAUGAGGGUGCAAUGAAUUGGAAGCUGUGAAAAUAAAACUGCUUUGAAAUUAA